GGCUCUGCCAGCUGUACGAGUGCAUCCUCUUUGUGCCCUGGCCCGACUAUGCUGCCCGCUAUGGUGAGGCCAGGUACAUGGGGCUGGGGCUGAGAAGGCGUCCUGCACCUCUCUUUCCUGUUGCCUGGGGACAGGCCAGGGCUCUUGGCCCCAGGGAGAGGAGCUGCUCUGCAGAGACACCAAGCUCCAUCCCGCUGACCCUCCCCUCAGGCCCGUGCUCUCCUGCUGCCCACGGUGCUCUGGAAGCAUAUGAUAGAGGCCCGGGCACAGGUGACCCUGAGCUUGGACCUCAGUGCCCUGGCCAGGGUGUCCAAUGGCUACACAUCGGGUCACAUCGUCCAAGCCACCGAGAUGGUGCUGAAUGAGCGGCAGAUUCUGCAGCUGUCCAGGCGGCCCCUGGGGGCCUCUGAAUUCCUGGUGCAGCUGGCGAAGCUGAACCCAGUGUACUUCGAGGAGGAGGAGUCCCUGAAGAAAGACCCUCCUGCCACCCCAUCUGCUGUGUACCCCGACCCACCGCCAGUGGGACACAGAUCCUGCCUAGGGUGCGGGUCCGCCUG
rnacentral:lncRNA from 1 species